rnacentral:lncRNA from 1 species
CAAUGCUAUUUCUUUUUUAUUUUUCCUUAGUUUAUCAAAUAGAUCAUCAAAAGUAAAAGGGGGUAAAUUAACUUUGUGUUGAUUGUUUUCGAAAUUUAAGUUUUCUUCGUCCGCAUGCAAAAAAGGAAUAAAUAAAUCAAUCAAAUUCCGGGAGGCUUCAAAAAGCGCUUCUUUAGGAGUUAAACUUCCAUUUGUCCAUAUUUCGAGAAAAAGUAUUUCUUGUUUUUCAUUACCAUUCACGUAAGAAUGAAUACUAUGAUUUGCAUUUCGAACAGACAUGAAUACAGCAUCUAUAGGAUAACUUCUGUCUUGAAAUUUAGUUAGUGUUUUUAUACGAUAUCCACGAUUUCUAAUCCAAUACAAAAUUAAUGGGUUAUGUUAUAUUAGCUAUAUGUUGUGUAUUAUCAACGAUUUCCACAGAAGGUGGUAAAAGGAUGUCUUGAGCAGUUACAUAUCCAGGACCUUUGACAAAAAUAGACGCGUCCCGAGUUCCAUACAUAUUACUUCUCAAUACAAUUUCUUUCAAAUUCAUUAAAAUUUCAUGGACUGAUUCUUGAAUACCUACUAGCGUCGAAUAUUCAUGUGGUAUUUUCUCAGAUUUUGCACGUGUGAUACAUGUUCCCUCGAUUUCUCCGAGUAAAACUCUUCGCAUUGCAAUGCCUAUUGUAUCGGCUUGACCUUUCAUAAGUGGAGACAGAAUAAAGCGCCCAUAAUAAAGACGCUUACUGUCUACUCUUGAUUCAACACACUUCCAACGGAGUGUUCGAGUAGAUACUCUUACUUUCUCUCGAACCAUAGUAAUAUAUUAUAUAUAUUAUUAAAUCCUUUAAUGGUUUAUUUCUCUUGAAAUCGCUUCCAUGUUUAUUUUUCGUUUUACACACGUCGUUUUUUCGGAGACCUACAUCCAUUAUGUGGCAUAGGGGUUACAUCCCGUAUAAAUUUUAAUAGUAUACCACUUCUACGAAUAGCUCUUAAUGCCGCAUCUCUUCCGAGACCCGGACCUUUUAUCAUGACUUCCGCCCGUUGCAUGCCUUGAUCCGCUACUGUUAGAAUAGCAUUUGCUGCUGCGGUUUGAGCGGCAAAUGGUGUGCCUCUUCGUGUACCCUUGAAUCCACAAGUACCGGCGGAGGACCAAGAAAUUACCCGCCCCCGUACAUCAGUAACAGUCACAAUGGUAUUGUUGAAACUAGCUUGAACAUGAAUAACUCCCUUUGGUAUUUUACGAGCAUGCUUACGCGAACCAAUACGUCCAUUUUUACGCGAACCCAUUUUGGGUGUAGGUUUUGCCAUACUUUAUUAAAUUUUUUAUUUAGCAAUUGAAGUCCAAGAUCUAUGGAUAUAUCCAUUUUAUAUCAAAACAAGAUUCGUUACUAUUUUAUAACUUUUCUAUAUUAAUUGUACUCUUUUUAUUAAUUCUAUAUUAAUAGAAUUUUAAAUAUCAAUUAUUUUUUUUAUUUCUUUUUAAUAGUUAGAAUAUAUAUAAUAAUUUAAUAUAUAUAUUUAUAAAACUUAUAUAUAUUAUCUAUAUUAUUUAAUAAAAAUUGAUUUUAUUUGUGCAUUCAGUCUCAGUCCUUUACUUUAGAAUUGAAAGCCCUCCUUUGUGGAAAUUUUAUCCUUGUCUUUGUUUAUGUCUUGGAUUGGAACAAAUUACUAUAAUUCGACCCCGCCUACGGAUCAAUCUACAUUUUUCACAAAUUUUACGAGCAGAGGCCCUUAUUUUCAUAUUUGUCAUUCCUUAAAUGAAUCCCUAAUCUCUUUAUUGGAAGAAAAUAAGUUUUCUUUUAAUUUUUAACUUAUAAGCGUAAGCGUACCCCCCAAAAAAAUAUUUAAGUUGAAAAAAAAAAAGUCUAAUUAAAUGAUUUAGACUGCCAUUUUAACUUUCGGGAUCAUAUACAUAUAAAAUAUGAGUACGUCGAGUCGAAUCCUUUCGGAAACAUAGACUAGAAUCAAACAAAAUAAGAUUCUAUAAUAUAAAGGGGAAUCUGGAACAUACCCUUGGGAAGUUAUUCCAUAAUUAAAACUUCAUGAAUCCAUUUUCUUUUGUAUUCUUAUUCGAGUUAAACUUCCGUCACGCAUUCACUAUUGUAUGAAGAGUACUAUUUGAAACCUAUGUUUUUUCUCUUUUUUGACAAAAAUGGAUAGAAGUUUAUCAUCUCAUAUAAUUCGGAUAUCAGAAAAAUUACCAUAUAUAACAUAAAACUUCUCCGCCUAUUCUUUCUAAUCGAGCCUCUCGAUCUGUUAUUAUACCUCUAGAAGUAGAAAGAAUUACAAUUCCCAUUCCUCCUAAAAUUCUAGGAAUUCGUUGAUAAUUAGAAUAGAUUCGUAGACCGGGUGUACUGAUCCGUUUUAAAAUUAAAACAGGUUUAUACGAUCCUUUCCUAUAUCGUAGAGUUAAAACUAAAAAAUAUUUGUCGUUUUCCCGAUGUUUUCUCACAUUUUGAAUAAAACCCUCUCGUAACAGUAUUUUAACAAUGUUUUCGUUAAUGUUAGUAAAUGGUAU